UACGUAGGGGGCAAGCGUUGUCCGGAUUUACUGGGCGUAAAGAGCGUGUAGGCGGCCAGACAGGUCUGCUGUGAAAACUCGAGGCUCAACCUCGAGACGCCGGUGGAAACCGUUUGGCUAGAGUCCGGAAGAGGAGAGUGGAAUUCCUGGUGUAGCGGUGAAAUGCGCAGAUAUCAGGAAGAACACCGGUGGCGAAGGCGGCUCUCUAGUACGGUACUGACGCUGAGACGCGAAAGCGUGGGGAGCGAACAGG
rnacentral:rRNA from 1 species